UAUAGAACAUUGCAUCUCUUUUAGUUGUGUCAGAAUUUUUUUUUCUCUUAAUUGGGCUAUUUAUACCUUUUAUGUUAUUAAAGUCAAUACAGUGAGUGGAGACAUCU